AGUGAACGCUGGCGGUAGGCCUAACACAUGCAAGUCGAACGGCAGCACAGUAAGGGCUUGCUCUUACGGGUGGCGAGUGGCGGACGGGUGAGGAAUACAUCGGAAUCUACUUUUUCGUGGGGGAUAACGUAGGGAAACUUACGCUAAUACCGCAUACGACCUACGGGUGAAAGCAGGGGAUCUUCGGACCUUGCGCGAUUGAAUGAGCCGAUGUCGGAUUAGCUAGUUGGCGGGGUAAAGGCCCACCAAGGCGACGAUCCGUAGCUGGGCUGAGAGGAUGAUCAGCCACACUGGAACUGAGACACGGUCCAGACUCCUACGGGAGGCAGCAGUGGGGAAUAUUGGACAAUGGGCGGAAGCCUGAUCCAGCCAUACCGCGUGGGUGAAGAAGGCCUUCGGGUUGUAAAGCCCUUUUGUUGGGAAAGAAAAGCAGCAGGUUAAUACCCCGCUGUUCUGACGGUACCCAAAGAAUAAGCACCGGCUAACUUCGUG
rnacentral:rRNA from 1 species